CUGGAACUGUCAGAAGACUAGGAGCAAUUCAUCGCCCAUUUGGGCCAAACUUUUCUAUGACGGGGAGUGAGGGAAGAAAGAUAUUCUUCUGCGAAAGAUAAAAUCAAGGAAUAUUUCAUCAUUUAUAUUUAGUUUUUAAACAAUGAUUUCCCCAAUGAGGACCUCACUUCCUAAGCUCUGGUGUCUGCUCUUUUGCCUGGGUCACAUUUGGGAUGGAAUAACUGGAGAUUCCCAGAAAGCCCUUCCCUGAAUGCUGUUCCCUUCAGCUUUCCCACAGUCCUUGGUUUUGAGGUCAAGACAAGACACUCUUGAUUGUGGCGAUGGGGCUGUACUCCUGCCAAGAGCUCUGCCUCAAUGAGACUUGAGAAAUACUGGACAGAUGACUUCUCCUCAUCACUACUGACUCCAAAUUGCCUCCCAGAAAUUGAAAACAUUAUUGCUGAAGACACCACACGCAUUGGAAGGAGAACUUGAAGACGGAACUGAUGGUUGUUCCACUGGGGAUUAGCAGAAGGAGCUGUAUAAGCUGCCAAGGGAGAAAAGUCU
ensembl:lncRNA